UACAGAGGUCUCAAGCGUUGUUCGGAUUCAUUGGGGUAAAGGGUGCGUAGGCGGCGCGGUAAGUCGGGUGUGAAAUCUUGGAGCUUAACUCCGAAACUGCAUUCGAUACUGCCGUGCUUGAGGACUGGAGAGGAGACUGGAAUUUACGGUGUAGCGGUGAAAUGCGUAGAUAUCGUAAGGAAGACCAGUGGCGAAGGCGGGUCUCUGGACAGUUCCUGACGCUGAGGCACGAAGGUCAGGGGAGCAAACGGG
rnacentral:rRNA from 1 species